rnacentral:piRNA from 1 species
UAAGGGGUCAGGAAAGAGAAUGAGAAGGC